ACGCUCGACACCUACGGGAGGCAGCAGUGGGGAAUAUUGCACAAUGGGGGAAACCCUGAUGCAGCGACGCCGCGUGAGCGAAGAAGUAUUUCGGUAUGUAAAGCUCUAUCAGCAGGGAANAAAAUGACGGUACCUGACUAAGAACGCCCCGGCUAACUACGUGUCAGCAGCCGCGGUAAUCUGAGGCGGGCUGGCAAGGC
rnacentral:rRNA from 1 species